rnacentral:rRNA from 1 species
CGUGUAGGCGGCCUCCUAAGUCUGAUGUGAAAGCCCGGGGCUUACCCCCGGAAGUGCAUUGGAAACUGGGAGGCUAGAGUACCGGAGAGGAAGGUGGAAUUCCUGGUGUAGCGGUGAAAUGCGUAGAUAUCAGGAGGAACACCGGUGGCGAAGGCGGCCUUCUGGACGGAUACUGACGCUGAGACGCGAAAGCGUGGGGAGCAAACAGGAUUAGAUACCCUGGUAGUCCACGCUGUAAACGAUGGGCACUAGGUGUUCGGGGUAUUGACCCCCUGAGUGCCGCAGCUAACGCAUUAAGUGCCCCGCCUGGGGACUACGGCCGCAAGGUUAAA